rnacentral:rRNA from 1 species
AUUGAACGCUGGCGGCAGGCCUAACACAUGCAAGUCGAGCGAGCGGCGGACGGGUGAGUAAUGUCUGGGAAACUGCCUGAUGGAGGGGGAGAACUCCUGGAAACGGUAGCUAAUACCGCAUACCAUCAGAUGUGCCCAGAUGGGCUUAGCUAGUAGGUGGGGUAAUGGCUCACCGAGGCGACGAUCCCUAGCUGGUCUGAGAGGAUGACCAGCCACACUGUAACUGAGACACGGUCCAGACUCCUACGGGAGGCAGCAGUGGAGAAUAUUGCACAAUGGGCGCAAUCCUGAUGCAGCCAUGCCGCGUGUGUGCAGAAGGCCUUCGGGUUGUAAAGCACUUUCAGCGAGGAGGCGUUACUCGCCGAAGAAGCACCGGCUAACUCCGUGCCAGCAGCCGCGGUAAUAC